AUGCUUACCUGGCAGCAGAGAUAUGAUGAUCACAAAAGUGGUUUUCCCAGGGCGAGGCUUAUUCAUUGCACUCCAGAUGUGCUGACCCCUGCAAUUUUCCCAAAUGUGGGAAACUCGACUGCAUAAUUUGUGGUAAUGGGGGAUUGCAUUGGUGCUCUCUCCUG
rnacentral:snRNA from 1 species